GACGUUACCUACAGAAGAAGCACCGGCUAACUCCGUGCCAGCAGCCGCGGUAAUACGGAGGGUGCGAGCGUUAAUCGGAAUUACUGGGCGUAAAGCGCAUGCAGGCGGCCUGUUAAGUCAGAUGUGAAAGCCCGGGGCUUAACCUCGGAAUUGCAUUUGAAACUGGCAGGCUAGAGUCUUGUAGAGGGGGGUAGGAAUUUCAGGUGUAGCGGUGAAAUAGCGUAGAGAUCUGAAGGAAUACCAGUGGCGAAGGCGGCCCCCUCGGACAAAGACUGACGCUCAGAUGCGAAAGCGUGGGGAGCAAACAGGAUUAGAUACCCUGGUAG
rnacentral:rRNA from 1 species